CGGCAUCGACACGGGAGCUGGUGCAAAGCACCGGCUGAGAGAGGGUAACCUCGACCGAUUGAACGUGAAUCCGGGCAAUGCCGGCGCACGGACGUCGCUCUACACCCGUG
rnacentral:ncRNA from 1 species